UCUGAUCCCUGUCCACCCACCCACUCCUCACAACCCUUGUGCCCGCUGCCUCCCUCGGGCACCUUCACUGAGGCCAGUUUGAUGCUAUUCAUCCCUAGAUGAUGCCAUUCAUCAUCUAGGUCAGAUGUCAUCUGACCUAGAAGAAGUGUUUGUCUGGACAAGGAAAGAGUUCAUGUGGUGAAACGCUGGCAAAGACUCCAGGCCAAAGCCCUGUCUGAAUUUGGAAGGCAUCAGAACUGGGAAUGAAGCACAACAAAGACAGGGCCAGGGUGAGGCACAAGCAAACAUCAGAUGAUCCAGAUGAGUCCCUUCCAACUCAGUAUAUUUCAUGAUUUCUGUGAUAGUUUAAUCAGCAGAACCCCAGAUGCUGAGGUUGGCUUCACAGCCAGCUUUAUCUGGGAGAAGAGGACAUGGACUUCCAGUGGCACAGUCCAGCACUCCCUGUUCCUGGCAGCAGCUCAGAAAUGCUCUGAGACAUGCAUCUUUUUGUGUCAGUUCUGACCCAAACGAAAUCAAGAAACCUUGGAAAUCUCACAGGAGAUAGAUUUUUGUGAGUUUUCCAAUUUAAAGAGGUGGAGAUAAACCCAGAUAAGUGUGUGAGAAAAGAUCUGCAGCACAUGGAAGGUUCAUCUAUAACUAGAUAUGUCUGCCUUUAUUUUUGUGGCCUUACACUUUUCUAGAGAUAUGCCUACAGGCACUUGAUUAACACUGGAGUAGUUAUGUAAAUGAAUGAAUGGGACAAUAGAUGUAGUAGAAGAAAGCCUUCAUUCUUAACUCUGACAAAUGCUUGCUUUCCAAAGGAGAGAUUGUUUUAAUUGGCCAGCUAGCUGCUUAGAAUGGGUUAGAAAGGACAGGGAGAGGACCUUCAAAAGCCAAGCAAUUCUGAGGCUUUUCCCAAGCAGCAAGGAUAAAAGAAAAAAUCUUGUUUCUGUUACUAAUAAUUUAAAAAUGCUGCACUUUGUCAUCAAUCUCAAUUUGCUAUAAUGAGCCUUGCAGGAAGUUCAAAAGUUUCAGUGGGACAAAAAUGGGUUUAAGGGAUGUUGGGCAAUUCAGAAACAUGAUUCCAAUUGCACCAGAUAAUGUCUGUGUUACCCUAAAUAAUAUUUUACUGUGAUGCCUGUUGUGAAGUGGAGGCUGUAUGCAUGUAUAAACAUGUAUAUAUUUAUAGAUACACAUUAAUAUAGAGAGCCCAUGUGUCUACAUGAACGUUCAUAUUAACAAAUAUGCAAGGGCAAGACUCCUUCAAUAGCUAUAAAGGUUUAAUUUCUUAUCUGGUGCAUUCCAUGUUUUACUUGGUGGAAGGCCUAGUAUUUACAUGUUUAAUUAUCUAAGAUUUCUUCUCUCCCAAGGAACACACUGGUUUGCCAUGUUCAAUAAAGUAUGAAACAUAGAAUAAAUCUUUCUAGUGGAAUAACUACAUGGUACUAAACCCAUGUUUUAUCUUAUCCUCACAAUGUACUUCAGUUACUCUAAGUGUAUCUAUGUUGCAACCAAACUUGCCAUAAAUUAGUUAUGAUGAUAUUACAUCUGAAUUUAAUUUCAAAGUCUCUCAGCAAGUUGUUAAGCGUUUGUUGUCUAGGUCACUGCUGAGGAAAUUUGAAAACUCUGAUAUGAUUUAUGAAUAUUACUAUAUUAGUACAGUAUAAAAGACUAUGGGGAAUACAAACACAUA